rnacentral:rRNA from 1 species
AAGAGUAAGUCAUGUCGCUGUUUCCGUAGGUGAACCUAAUGCUCGUAGUAGUCGAGAUGUAGGGUUCCUAGCGAGCCCAACCUCCCAAGCUCGUGUUUGCUGACUUAGUUGCUUCGGCGGGCCCGCCAUUCAUGGCCGCCGGGGAUGCUCGCUGCCGGGCCCGCGCCCGCCGGAGACACCACGAACUCUGUCUGAUCUAGUGAAGUCUGAGUUGAUUGUAUCGCAAUCAUGCUCGCUGUUCAACAAUGGAUCUCUUGGUUCCGGCAUCGAUGAAGAACGCAGCGAAAUGCGAUAACUAGUGUGAAUUGCAGAAUUAUGCUCGUAGAUGUCGCUGAUGAUGCUCGUAGCGCCCCCAUGGUCCGUCGUUAGAUGCUCCCUCCGAGCGUCAUUGCUGCCCAUCAAGCACGGCUUGUGUGUUGGGUCGUCGUCCCCUCUCCGGGGGGGAAUGGCUCGCUGAGUAGCGGCGGCACCGCGUCCGAUCCUCGAGCGUAUGGGGCUUAUGCUCGUAGAUCUGCCUGCUGGCCGGCGCUUGCCGAACGCAAAUCAAUCUUUUUCCAGGUUGACCUCGGAUCAGGUAGGGAUACAUGCUCGAACUAGC